GGCAGUGGUAGUGUAGGAGGUGGUGGAGGCAGUGGUAGUGUAGGAGGUGGAGGUGGUGGUGCUGUUGUGGCUUUUUACAGACGUUAUUGUUCAAAAUAAAAUUCCAGCUCAAGCAGCAGCACAAUCUGAGCAUUUAUUCUUUGUAAAAACCAAACGCAGCGCUCUGAGGAUCUCCAUCAUCUCUGUCAGAAACCAUCAUCAUCAUGCUGAAGAUCACGGGCCUGAAAAUCUCUCUCUCUGCUUUAACCAGCGGCCAGAAAAUAAGCAGGCUUUCAGCUCCAGACUGUUUAUUAUCUGCAGACGCCGCAGACGGCCGAGCGAGAGGAUGCGUCGGGCCAGAGAUCGAACCCGAUAUGGUCAGAGGGUUUUCUUUUAAACUGUUUUACAACGUGACCUCGACGGUUUUGUGAGUGCUGCUGAUACGCUCGCGAUAAACACUGGAGGCGUGUGCGAGGUCGUGUAAAGCGAGCGCUCGGCGUUUAUCCGUUACAUCAGCCAGGAAAAUGAUGGGGUUUUAGAGAAAAGCUAUAAAACAACUUCUUUCAGUUAUUUGCUAUUUAAAACACUUUAACUUUCCCGAGAUUUCCCUUUUUAUGGAAGAAUAAAAGCGCUCUUGACUUGCAUCAAUAAUGUAGCUUUAAGAUUAAGUCUUAAGACGACGUGAAGCUAAACUUCCAUCCUAAAAAAACACCUAAUUCAUGUUUUAAUCCUGAUCCUAACUCCAUUCACAACUUGCUUACAUUAAUGCUAGCUUUUAAAACGUAGCUUUGGCUAACAACUGUAUCGCUGAGGUACAUUAAUACUCUAACAAAAACCAAACAAUGCUAAGCUAGUGGAUCUUUGUUCACAAAAGUCAUAAGAAAACACGUCAAAGAGGUGCAAAAUAUCCAGGCUUGCUUUGAAUUACCUCAGAAAAACCGAUGCUAAGCUAACAGGAUACAUUAAAUAAAAAUCAUAGAGAAGAACACCUGAAUCUGAACCUGAAACAUGACAUAAGGGACACAUUUAUAACUUCUUAUUCUCAUUAUGCCAGCUGUAGCUAGUGACUGAUACAAAAUGUUAGCUAUGUAUGCUAAAAACAAAACGCAAAUGAGCCUAAGCUAGCGUAAAUCUUUAAAUCUAAUGUAAAACACUUGUCAUCAUACUGAAAGUAAAGUUUAAGGAGAAUAUUUUUCUAAUAUAGAGGGUAAAAAUCGUUCUCCAUAGCUUUCAGAGACAAUCAUGCUAAGCUAGCAGCGUCAGUUUAGUCAGAAUCAGCCACCAGAAUAAUACAGUACAAGCCACAGUUACAUCUGAGCCUCAAACAUCGUGAGAUUUGCAUGAAGUUGAUAUUUUUAACGUGUUAUGUCAGCUAGCUAGCGACUUCUAUAAACCUUCUGUAAACGACGAGGCUAAGCUAGCUUAAAUGUUUGUUAUUUUUAAACACAAGGUUUUUUUUGUUGUACAAAAUUACAGAAGAAAAUAAACAGAUUGUCUUGUGAGCUUUUGGACACUAUCAUGCUAAGCUAACAGCGUUUGUUUAGUCAGAAUCAUUCACUGGACUAGUAACAAGAUUUAUUUCAACUUAAGUUGAACAUAGAGUGUUUAUUUAUUUAUUUAUUUUUAACUCUCUUUAGUCAAAAGCAUCUUCAUGCUGUUAUGCUAAGCUUUAUGAAUCUUACAUCUUAUGCUAGCACUAUUUUUAUUUACUCUCCCGGUUUCCAUGCAUCCUGGCUAAGUAAACAAACACAGAGAAAGCUAAUCAGAUUUAAACGCAGAUCAAUUCAAAACUAAGCUAGUAACCAGCAAGGCUCAAGUUUCUCUCAGUAAAACUUCAAACUUGCUAAUCAGGUGUCCUAGCAGGCCUGAGGGACAUUUUUAGCAUGAUGCGAACGCUAAUCGAGCUUUUUAUGCUUUCAUAAAUUAUUAGCAACAUUAGCAGCGGGAUGAAGAAUCUCCUCCAGUAGGAAUCUGAUUUACUGAAACGUUUAAAAGGGUCUCACUGGAGCCGGAUGAAUAAAAGAGCGUAAGAUUUAACAUGCUACGUAGAUUUAUCUUUGAAAUUGCAGCGGGGGGAAAAACGCGAGCGCUAAACGCUGCUUUGAAUAGGUAUCAUGUGUCUCGGGUUUGAGACGCAACAGCAGACGACUAAGUGUUUCCUGUCUGUCAGCGUGUGUGUGUGUGUGUUGUACCAGACGGGGGUCUGCUGUAGACCUAGCCUGCCCCUCCCCCCACUCCACAGCCCUAACUCUAGCUGAAGAGUCGAAGAUGAAUUAAAUAUAAAGAAGGUUUUCACAGAAAUCGCACAGAAUCAUUGACACCUAACGCUUACGACCCUGAACUUAUCAAAACCUCAAAAUAUCUGAGCGCUCCAGGCUGGGGAAAGACGCUGACCUUGGACUUCCUGUCGUGUGUGUGUUAGAUGUAGCGUCUGGCUGGAUGAAGUAAAGGAAACGUAGCAGGAGGAUGGUUAAUAUGGUUGUGUAAGGUUCGAGUCGUGUAGGCUGUUGUGGUGUAAGAGGAAUAAAUGAAGCAUCAGGGGGCUGCAUCCUGAAGCGCUUUAUUCCACUUCACCAGUUUGCCAAAGCUAAGUUUAUUUUAUAAAGAAUGUUAAUGGGUUUUUUUAAUACGUUUUAAUACAUUUAACGUUGUUGAACCUGUUAUCACUUACGGUACAGCAGCUAUUCCUAAUCGGUGUUUUUGUAGAACAUCUGCAAAACCUGCUGUCACUUAAUUUACAGCAGCUACAUGUUCUUGUUUUAUCCAUUUAUAGAUACAUUUAACGAUCUUCACCACCACCACCACCUUCACCUCCACCACCACCACCAUCUCCUCCUCCUUGUCCACCAUCACUACCUCCUCCUCCACCACCACCACCACCAUCUCCACCUACAUCUCCACGAACUCUGCCACAUCUACCUAUUGCUCCGCUACCUCCACCACCAACAUCCUCUUCCUUCAACACCACCACCACCACCACCUGCUGUCACUUAGGUUACUACAUGUUUUUUAUUUUUUUUAUCCAUUUAUAGAUGCAUUUAAUGUUGUGGAACAUCUGCAAAACCUGCCACUUAUGUUACAGCAGCUAUACGUUGUUGUUGUUGUUGUUUUUAUCCAUUUAUAGUCACGUUUAACGUUCUAGAAAUGUUUUAGUUACAUCAGCCAUGCGUUGUUGUUGUUUUUUUAUCUGUUUAUAGAUAUUUAUGCUACAGCAGCUGUCAACUCCCGUGUGCACAUCGAAAUAAAUUGGAUGAAUUUUUCCUUUCUAUUUAAGGUUCUCCAACGUGAGCUUUUUUCACACUCCGUCUCUCGAACCCUUUUCGGUGUCAGUAGCUCAGCUGUCGUGCCUAAGAAAGACGUCCCUCGACCUCUCGGCUGCUCUCCGCCCCGUGAGCUCCCGCAUUAGCCGCAUUCCUCGCACUCCAAGUUCAAAGUGCACGCUCUCUCGAUUGAUCAAGUCUGGAACAGGCCUGGGAUUUGAGAGCAGACCCUUCGCUAAGAGAGCCCCCAAAUCUGCCCCCUAAAAGCCUCUGUCUCUCACAUGACCUGGAGGAAUGGAGAUAAUGGUGUGUGUGUGUGUUAAAGUGUUGAAGCUGAUCUCUCAGACAGCCUGUCAAGGUUUCAGUAAUUGAGUUAAAAAGGCAUUUGGGAAGGUCUCUUUUUUUCGUUCUUCUCCUCCUCCUUUCUUCUCCUAACACCUUUUCUCCUUUGUUUUCAGUGGGAAUGGACCAGCUCCAGCUCUGAAGUCUCUCAUUUAGAGCACUUUGAUAUUAUCUGGCAAGUCGGAGCAGGCAGGCUGUUUCACCACAGCGUGCCAGAGUACUACAAGACUUUCCUGUACCGUGUUUAUGAUUCCCGCUGAAGACUUCCAGCGUUUCCCAUGCCGAGAUCUCCACUCGGAAAACCUUUUCCGUCGCCAUACACGCCGCAUGCCGGACGGAUCGUAACCGGAGUCUGUUCUGAAUGACAUACGGGACUGAUAUUUAUCUCGGGUCCCGUCAAGUCUGUUAGCAGAUCGAGAAACUCCAGAAAAACGCUGUGGCACAUUCACUGAGACCUGCCAUCUAAUCUCUAACUCUUUACAGGACUGGAGUUUCACUGAGGGUUAUUUUUUGGGCUAAAGACGUUUGAUUUGGUUUGUUUUUAAGGAAAACUGCUUGAACUGGUGAAAUCACCAGCACAGGAUUCUUCUGCUUUAACUCCUAGCAGUGAGGCACAUCUGAAAUGACUUUAUAUGAGAGCUGUGCUCACGUUCCACACACGUGAAUGGACUUCGGCUGAAUGAGUGUGGUGGUGACGUCACAACACGUCCUGAUAAAGUCAAGUCAACGAGUCAAGUCAACGAGUUAAAUCAAGUCAAGUCAAAUAAACAAGCCAACGUCAAGUGAACGAGUCAACUCAAGUGAACAAGUAAAUUCAACAAGUCGAGUCAAGUGAAGUUACCAAGUCAAGUCAACAAGUCAAGUCGAUUCAAGAAGUCAAGGCAAUAAGUCAAGUCAAGUCAAAAAGUCGUCACAUCAACAAGUCAACUCAAGUCAACUCAAAAAGUCAAGUCGUCAAAAACUCCUCUGAAUAUUGUGGAGAUUUGAUGUUAAUUCCUGCACUUGAUAAAAUCCCCAAAUCCUGAAGUAAUAAACUAAUAAUCCUGAUAAUAUUAAUAUCCUGACUCCUGACUAACACUGAGCUUUAAUAGAGCUUUAAUAGAACUCAAGCUGGGCUCAUACAGUUAGAGGAAAUCAAUCAAGGUCAUGAUGAUGUGAAGAUUCUUUCCCUCACUGUUUCUUUUCCUCUCUCUCUCUCUCUCUCUCUCUCUCUCUACACACAUAUUACACACAAAUUAGCCACGAGGCAUGAAGUUCUCUCCUUUUGUUAAAGCUUUAAAUAGCCGCUGUUUCUGACUGUUUCAGAGCUCUGACACUGGAGACUCCUUCCAUACACACCUGAACCCCUCUUCGUACCGCGUGCAUGUCUGAACGACGGUUGCUAUAGAAACAAUAAGGUAACAGAACGUGUGCAUUAAUAUUAACCCGUGAUUAGCACAGAACAGAAAACGAAGCCUGACUCCCCGACCAAUCAAAAUGAAGAACUCGUCAGCGCUGUGGUGUGACGGAUUGAGCAAGUUGUCCUGAGGGGAAAAACGUCGUCAUGCCAAAAGCUUCAGGUUUCAGAACAAGACGUGAAAUUUAUGAGACUGCUCCUGGCAUUUACUUCACGUUCCCAUGGUAACGCUCGAACCAACGAUUGACGUUAACAAACCUGUUGCACCGCGUUCGUCUCUCUCUGUCUGUGUUUCUCACUCUCUGUCCUUCCCUGUCUCUCUCUCUGUCCUUCCCUGUCUCUCUCUCUGUCUGUCUAUCACACACUCUUUUUCUGUCUGCCUGUCCUUCCCUGUCUGUCUCUCUCUCGCUCUCUUUUUCUCUCACACACACACACACACACACACUCUCUCUCUCUCUGUCUCUUUCACACACAUACACACACACAAUCUCGCUUUCUCUCUCUCUGGCUCACACACACACUCUGUCUCUCUCUCUGUCUCUCUCUCACACACACUCUCUCUCUCUCUCUCUCUGUCUGUCUCACACACACACAAUCUCGGUCUCUUUCACACACAAACACAAUCUCAGUCUCUCUCUCUAUGUCUCACACACACACACACUUUCUGUCUCUCUCUCUUUGUCUGUCUCUCUCACACUCUCUGUCUCUCUCUCUCUCCCACAGACACUCUUUGUCUCUCUCUUUCUUUCUCACUAUCUCUUUGUCUGUCUCUCUCACUCUCUCUCUCUCAGACUGAAUUUCACAUUUAAUAAUAAUAAUAAAGAUCUUCAUUUUUGACCUGACAGUAAAUAAAAAGCUCUUGAGGACAAAACGUUGGCCUUCCCACGCUCCUCGCUUUAUCCCAUCCUUCUCACUGUACAGGAUAAUUAUGUGAUAAUUACAGAGGAGAUCGGUCAACGCCCACUUUUUUUAUCACAAACCUGGUUCUGGAAGUUUCUUUCCCAUUCAUUAUCUUUUUGUAUUUAAGCAUUUUUUAGAGUUUAAAGCACCAAAGUGGAGCAGCGUGUCACAACAUGAACGCCUUUUUAACAUUCCUUAUUACAAACUAAAUCAUUUUCACCUCCUGACCUCUUCUCUCUCACGUUUUUUUUUGGUGUUUUGAGUUGGAAAGUUUGGUGUAGGCUGUUAGGGACCUGACCAUCAUCGUGUUAUUACUUCAGAAAAAAAAAAGAAAAAGACACACAAGGGUGUGAUUCUGUGUCAUGUCAUAUUUACACGGACAAAUCUGUACACUCGGGAAGCAUGAGCAGUCCAUUUCUUUCUCAAACGCUUCUUCUUUAUACAAAAGUGCAAAUCUUUAACAAAUAAAACAAUCCUUCAGUUAUUAGAGAAGUCCAGUUUUUAAAGUUCUGUCUUGAGCACAGCUUCAAGUCUCUUGUGCCAGAUUCAAAUAAAGUGCUUCUACAGCAGCAGCCGGAUGGACGACAAGUCUAUUUUUAUUUCUCCUCCCAAAGCCGUUUCAGACCGGCUCCAGCUUGCCUCUCGGACCGUGCCGUCCCCAGUGGACCAGCGAUAAGAGUCUCUGGCUGCUCAGAUCGGACUGUCUGAUCUUAUCGCAGGUCAGACAGCAGCUCUCGUGUCCUCCCAGAGGCAUCAUGCACUCCAUGUCCAGUUUGGUGCCGCGGCUUUUGGCCAGAUGCUGGCCGUGGAAGCCGUAGUGGAGGCGAGAGAGCAUCUCGCGUCGCUGCUGCCUCAGGCGCCGGUUCUCGCUGCGGAGCAUCCUCAGAGCCAGCGUGAUGAGGAGGACGAGCACGAGGCCGCCAGCGAUGGGCACGGCGAUGACGGCGGCGCGGAACCACACUUCCUUGGAGGAGGGGAUUUCCUGCACGCGGGCGAUUAUCUGGCGUCCGCCGUCAGCCUGAGGACGACUCCGAUGAUCUGUGGGAAAUUGAUAGGUUUCUUACGUUGAACAGAUAAGACAUUUAAAACAUUGAGAAUUUAUACCUUUUGUACUUUUUAUCCCUUUAUAGUAACAUUUUAUGUUGGAUCUCUCUGGUCAUUUUCUCUCGCUCUCAAAGUUAUGAAGACAAAAAAUGUCACUUUUCACAGAGUUUACAGCUUCACCAAAGCACCGACACUGGAAACUCCUUCCAUAACCGAUACAUAAACAUCUCCUUAUAGAAAACCGCGCAAAUGACAUAGCAUGUCCAACAUACGUUAACAUUUCUGGCAUUUAUCAGACAGCCUUAUCCAGAGUGACUUACAAUUAUAUCACAUUUUAUACAAUUGAGGGUUAAGGGCCCGACUUAGGGGCCCAGCAGUAGCAGCUUGGUGGACCUGGGAUUCGAACUCACAACCUUCUGAUCAGCAGUCCAACACCUCGACCACUAAGCUUGCACUUCCCCUAUAAAAACCCUUCUGUACGCUCUUACUAUCAAAAUCAUCACCAUUUAGAACGAGAGUAUUAAUAUCAUUUUCCUUGCAGCUAGAACUUCUUUUCUCUCAGAGCUGCUGAGAUGAAUCCACUCCUUCUUCCUGACCAAUCAGAUUUGAGAAUUUUAGCAACAUGAUAAGCGUUUUUGCUUAAUAGCUUCAGUAGAGAAAAUAACAGAGCCUGGUGAGGGAAUGAAUGUUUAUAGCUGCUAUAUCAUGACUGAAAACAGGAAUGUUACUAUAAAUAGACAAAUAUUGGUGAUGAUUCUGUUUGUUAUAAAAGGAAAUAACUCAGUGUUAGGGAACUGAGAGUGACUCCGCUCAUGCCCGGCUUCAUCACGUCAACCUGUAGCUGAUUAUUUUCCUACAGCAGCUGACCUGCAUGUGUUUAACUCCUUACUGAUGUUGAUUAAUGCAUCGCUUGUGAUCACUAGUGUCAGGUUUGAUAUUGAAAAUGUUUUGUCCAUCACUAUGUCGAUAUAUACAGGUGAAGUGAAUAAGACUGAGUAUCUCCUCAUCAUGGCCCCUGUUAGUGGGUGGGAUAUAUUAUGCAGCAAGUCAACAUUUUGUCCUCAAAGUUGAUGUUAGAAGCAGGAAAAAUGGACAAGCGUAAGGAUUUGAGCGAGUUGGAUGAAGGGUCAAAUUGUGAUGGCUAGACGACUGGAUCAGAGCAUCUCCAAAACUGCAGCUCUUGUGGGGUGUUCCCGGUCUGCAGUGGUCAGUAUCUAUCAAAAGUGGUCCAAGGAAGGAACAGUGGUGAACCGGCGACAGGGUCAUGGACGGCCAAGGCUCAUUGAUGCACGUGGGGAGUGAAGGCUGGCCCGUGUGAUCCGAUCCAGCAGACGAGCUACUGUUGCUCAGAUUGCUGAAGAAGUUUAGGCUGGUUCUGAUAAUAAGGUGUCAGAAUACACAGUGCAGGACGGGUCAGGACUGAUCUGGCAGCAAAAAGGGGGACCAACACUAGGCAGGUGGUCAUAAUGUUAUGCCUGAUCCGUGUAUUAUAUUAUUCUACUUACUUUUAACAUGAUUGUAUCAGAUUCAGUGCAUCAGUGUAUUGUACAGUACACGCCUUUUGUAAAUGACACCGCUGGGGGUGUGAGGGUGGACCCAGGGUGGGCACAGGGGUAGGGUAUUUUAGGUAUUUUCAGAAACACAUAUUAAAAUAUGUUUGCACUGUUAUACUGUAUUUGUUAGUUUGGGUCUGAAAUAAAUAAAUAAAAGUAAAUAAAAAACAUACAAAAAAUAUUCGAACAUUAUGUAACAAUAGUCACUUAAAAUUUAGCACAGUAUUUCCAUUGACAGAAAGGGGCGUGGCUUGGAAUUUUAUGACGUAACAAUACUUCUAUACUUGACCACAUCUAAAUCUUUGUGCUAUUCAUCAGAAACCUGACUCGUGUCGGUCCAGGGGUAAUAAUUAGACUCAGUCUCAGUGUCCAAAUGUAAUCCGUUCCAAUUUUAUGCACUAUUUCUCUGCUAAGCGUGCUCUUACCCAGGCUUUCUCCCCGGCCGUAGGUGAGAUCCUGUGGCCCUCUGUAAUUGCACAUAUCCUCGUGACAGCACUCGAGCGUCGCAGGCCUGCGCAGGGCUUCGUGGGUAGCCUCGGCUCGGCACGCGCUUCCUCCGUUAAGCUCGGGUUCGUAACAGCCGUGUGAAAGCGGAGACUUGGAGCUUUGUGGAUCUAAGACCCGCGUGAAGCAGGCGUUCAGCUCCGACUUGCACAUGUAGCCGGUAGCCACACAGUGAGGAGAGUCACAAUAACACCGUAUUUCUCCUGCAUAGGGACAAAAAGGACGAGUCACAAUAUUAUUUCCAUCAGAAAUUAGUCAUUAAAUUUAAUUUCAUUCAGUUCGCUCAAUAUAAUAAAUGAUCUGUGUGUGUGUGUGAGAUCAUCUGUAAGCGUCUCUACAGCUAUAAUGAAGUCACAGAUACACAAAUGAGCUUCUUAAGACACUUCACACGUUAUGUUUUGAUAAAAAGGAGCUGAUUUCUGUGACACAAGCUACAGUUACACACCUGGGUUUUAGGCACGUCACGUGUUUUCAGGUUUCACGUGAGACUUUUCUUUCAUUCAUAAAUGAAAAAAAUCAUAAAAUGAUGUAUUCGUUGCUAUAUGUUCGCUUGUGUUUUAACUUUUUACACAAAAUAUGUUGAAUGAAAAGCCCUAAUUUCAGUCACAUGGAUCUGGACUUCACAUGAUUUUUUUUACACACUAUUCCUUUAAGUCUCUCUCUCUCUCUCUCUCUCUCUCCUGUCUCUUUCUCUGUCUCUCUCUCUCUCUUCUCUCUCUUUCCUUUCUUUCUCUCUCUCUCUCUCUCUCUCUCUCUCUGCUCGUGUUAACGUUUACUUCACCUUCUUACCUUCAGGCUAACACUUCAUCUGUUUUUUUUUUCUUCAAUUGUUUACAUGAUUUUUACACACUAUUCCUCCAAGUCUCUCUCUCUCUCUCUGUGUCUCUCUCUCUGUGUCUCUCUCUCUUCUUUCUCUCUCUGCUCGUGUUCACGUUUAUUUUACCUUCUUACCCUCAGGCUAACACUUCGUCUGUUUUUGUUUAACACGUUUUUUCACGUGGAGCGCCUUUUCUCCCCUACGUGUUAACGUGCCGUUAUCUCUCUCUGUCUCUCUCUCGCUCUGUCUCUCUCUCUCUCACUUUUAUUUGUUCCUAAAGGAAAACAUAAUGUGCUGAACAUAACCUAUAAUCUGUUAACAAGAUAUAUUUAGAGCAAGAUAAUGCUCCAGAGCGAGAUUACCUAGAGCAGGACAAUCUAUUAAAUAUGAUAUGGUAUAAAUGAAUAUUUUACAAUUAAACAUCCUGGUGUGCUUCUAUAUCACCUUAAUACUGCGUUUUCUAACAUAUAUUAGUAUGUUAUUAAGACUUUAUAAAGGCUUUAUUCAGACUUUAUAACAGAAGCUUUUCCUAAGCAAAACAACUUCACCUUCCAUCUUUCUACAGACACGUGCAGGUUUAAAGACGUCCACUAAAUCAUUCUACAUGGGUGAUAAAAUGGAUUUAUUUCUUGUAUACGCUAUAAUCCUGAUGUUUUGAGUUCUCCUCACCUCUGGUUAAGAGCACAGCCAUGGCCCAGAGCUCCAGCUGCAGCCAAAUGGAAACCAGGCGCUCCAUUAAGAAGGACACUUUAAUACUUCUGUCUCUCUCUGUUUGUCUCAGCUUGUCCAGGACACACACAUCAUGACGCAGGACCAAUCCGGACGAUAAUCCAUCUUCUUCUUCAUCUUCAUGAUCAUCAUCCUCCUAAAUCACAUCAUAAAGACUUCAAAGACACACAAACACAAAAUCUUCUGAAAAGCUGCUCUUCAAACCACGCUUUCUUUUUCACAUCCAGAAAAGAUAAAUUCCAGUUCCUGAGCUGUUUCGUUUUUCCCCUUUUUUCCCCCUCUUUCUCCUUCUUUCUGGUGGUGACGUGUGUUUUUGAGAAUGGAAGUCCACACGGAACCGCUGACACGCCGCCGAUCAUCUGAACUCACGCAGCCCUGAGCCGGAUCACAGAACCGGAUAGACUCCUCCCACGAACACGCUGAUUGGACUACCGCGUGCCUCGUUUGCAUACGAGGGAUUUCAUUGGACCUGCCUGAUCCAUCCAGACGCUCUACCCUUGGUUAGAGUCUCGUGGCUUGGUGGUGCUCCUGCUGCUGUGGACAGAUCUGCAUGGACAGCCCGUGACCCAGGGGACUGCUGUGGAUAGAGCUACUCUGAGACUAACACCGUCUCUGACCUGCCUAUUCAUCGGUCAGCUUGCGACAGGAAGGAAUUAGUGCUAAUGAACUACACUGACCUACUAGUUCCUGAAGAGCUCUUGGUUGCUGUUGCAGAAAGGACAUUAUCUACAUUGACAUUAUUUCCUGUCCAGUGUUACCCAAAUGAGGGCGAGGUUCCCUUCUGAGCCUGGUUCCUCUCAAGGUUUCUUCCUCAUAUCAUCUCGGAGAGUUUUUCCUCACCAGCAUGGCCUCAGGCUUCUCAUUAGGGAUAACUGUCAGAGAUAAAUGUUAACUUAAAACUUUUUUUCUGCUUCUAUAUUUCUGUAAAGCUUACUUUGAGACAAUGUCCAUUGUUAAAAGCUCUAUACAAAUAAAUCAAACUGAAUGCAAAGCGCGCGCACACAGCAGGAGAAAAUACACUAAAUUAUAUUCAUAUAAAUGAUCUCCACAUAUCCAUGGACUUUUCCCAGGAUAGGAUU